UUCACCUAAACACCACCGAUACAGUGGGGAAAUAGUAGAAACCUUCCACAUUAAUAGAUCAGUCAAAUUACGCAUACCAAUUCCAAUAGCGAGUCAAAGGACGGUGUUGGACUACGUGGGAUUGCCUUACGCACAGAUUCAGCACGUGAAAAUACCGGAUAUGGAUAAGAGUACAUUUUUAGGGGUAAUAACGAGAGUUUAUUGGGAAAUAUUUUCAGGGAUAUAAAUUAAGAGAAGAUUACGUCAGUUGUUCAUUGUACCAGAAACAACAAAGCCCCAACUUUCGUUGAGGCUCUAUUACUUAAAUAUGGUGCCCGAGGGCGGACUUGAACCGCCACUCCGUUAGGAAGA
rnacentral:misc_RNA from 1 species